rnacentral:rRNA from 1 species
GGAAGUGAAUAAGAGCGUAUGGCGAAUGCCUAGGCUCUCGGAGACGACGAAGGACGUGGUAAGCUGCGAAAAGCUAUGGGGAGGUGCAAACAACCUUUGAUCCAUAGAUGUCCGAAUGGGGAAACCCCACAUUUUGAAGAAAUGUGAUUGCGCAAGCAAAGAAAACCCAGGGAACUGAAACAUCUAAGUACCUGGAGGAAAGGAGAACAAUUAGUGAUUCCGCAAGUAGUGGCGAGCGAACGCGGAAAAGCCCUAAAGUCUAUAUAUAAGGAGUAGAACAUGAUGGGAAUCAUGACCAUAGAAGGUGAAAGUCCUGUAAGCGAAGAUAUAUAUAGAUGAAACGAGUAAGGCGGAACCGGAGAAAUUCUGUCUGAAUAUAGCUGCACCAUCAGCUAAGGCUAAAUACUCCCGAGAGACCGAUAGUGAACUAGUACUGUGAAGGAAAGGUGAAAAGAACCCUAAAAAAGGGAGUGAAAAGAUCCUGAAACCGUACGCUUACAAGCGGUCGGAGCACUUCGGUGUGACGGCGUGCCUUUUGCAUAAUGAGCCUACGAGUUACUCCUCACUAGCAAGCUUAAGUACUUUAGGUACGGAGGCGCAGCGAAAGCGAGUCUGAAUAGGGCGAUUAAGUUAGUGGGGGUAGACGCGAAACCUGGUGAUCUACCCAUGGGCAGGUUGAAGCUUCGAUAGUAUCGAAGUGGAGGACCGAACCGGUAUAUGUUGAAAAAUGUUCGGAUGACCUGUGGGUAGGGGUGAAAGGCCAAUCAAACCAGGAGAUAGCUCGUACUCCCCGAAAUGCAUUUAGGUGCAGCGUCGUGAAGAGUGUCAUGGAGGUAGAGCUACCGAUAGGGCUAGGGGGCUUCACCGCCUACCAACCCCUGACGAACUCCGAAUGCCAUGACAUUGCAGCGGCAGUGAGGCUAUGGGUGCUAAGGUCCGUAGCCAAGAGGGAAACAACCCAGACCAUCAAUUAAGGUCCCAAAGUAUAUACUAAGUUGAAUGAACGAGGUGGGAAUGCUAAGACAGCUAGGAUGUUGGCUUGGAAGCAGCCAUUCAUUUAAAGAGUGCGUAACAGCUCACUAGUCGAGCGUUCCUGCGCGGAAAAUAAUCGGGCAUCAAGUAUAUCACCGAAAUUAUGGAUUGUACGUAAGUACAGUGGUAGGGGAGCAUUCUAAUUGCGUUGAAGUUGUACCGUGAGGUAUGGUGGAGCGGUUAGAAAAGAAAAUGUAGGCAUGAGUAACGAUAAAAUAGGUGAGAAACCUAUUCGCCGUAAGACUAAGGGUUCCUAGAUCUAUGCUAAUCAGAUCAGGGUUAGUCGGCACCUAAGGUGUACCCGAGAGGGGAAGCCGAUGGAAAACAGGUUAAUAUUCCUGUACUUGUUUAUACUGCGAUGGGGUGACGGAGAAGCGUAAGACCUGCCAUGUGACGGAAUACAUGGUUGAAGUGCGUAGGCGUUGAUUCAGUAGGUAAAUCCGCUGAUGAGCAGAAACACGAUAGUAUUUAAUCUUGCUUGCAAGAUUGAAAUAAUGGUCCCAAGCAUACUUCCAAGAAAAACCCCUAAGCUUCAGGUAUAAACAAGCCGUACCGUAAACCGACACAGGUAGUCGAGGAGAGUAUCCUAAGGCGCUCGAGUGAUUCAUGGCUAAGGAACUAGGCAAAAUGGUCUCGUAACUUCGGGAGAAGAGACGCUCUAAUUAAAUUUAGAGCCGCAGUGAAGAGGCCCAGGCGACUGUUUAGCAAAAACACAGGACUCUGCAAAAUCGUAAGAUGAAGUAUAGGGUCUGACACCUGCCCGGUGCUGGAAGGUUAAGGAAGGUUGUUAGUCUUCGGACAAAGCAAUUGACUGAAGCCCCAGUAAACGGCGGCCGUAACUAUAACGGUCCUAAGGUAGCGAAAUUCCUUGUCGGGUAAGUUCCGACCUGCACGAAUGGUGUAACGAUCUGGGCACUGUCUCAGCCAUGAGCUCGGUGAAAUUGUAGUAUCGGUGAAGAUGCCGAUUA